UCAGUAUGUAAAAAGAUUCCAAGAGAUAGACAAAACGCAUAAAUGCGUAUGGAGUAAAAGAGAAAAAUCAAAUGAGUCACUGACUCGCUGGCUAGAGAGUCAAGCGUUGCAAAAUGCAAAGAGAGAAGAAAGAAAUACUUGCAAUGAUAAUGGAGAUCUGACUGGCAACGGUGAAUGAGCGAAGUGUAAAUGCGUGGCUGCUGGCGAUGGCGAUGGUGAUGAGGCAUCAGCCUGCAGAUUCUCUUCGACUCUCCCUUCAACUGCCUUGGUUUGAAGAAGCAGAGAGCAACUUAACAGCAACUUGAGUUUCAUCUUUCAGUUUGCCAAGAUUUCAUCUCACACAGUAUGUUGAAGGUUAAAUCCAGAGUCUACUAUCCCAGACAGUAGAUGCAAAUAAACUCAUGGGCUUGGGCCACUGAAUCCAUCUGCAGCGACAUUUUAGCCUUCUACGGAUAAAGCUAAAGGAAGUCCUAGAUUGCAUGCUCAUCUAUCUUUUUCAUUUCAUCUAUCUUUGUCCAAUUUUAUAAGGUCAGCAUGGGUUCAAGAUUGUAUGAAGUGACCUGCCUAAGUUUGCUGGCUUUAUCAUUCUGAAUAUCAUGAAUUGAAGAUGACUGGAACAGGUUCUUUAACAAAACAGCAGGGGCUUGGGAUGACAUGGUUUUGGUGUAUAGAGGGUAAUAAUAUUUUUAAUUCUAUAGGACAGUGAACUCCAUGAAGACUACGGUUGAUAAUCUCAGAUUCUGUGGCACAGUAGUUGGAUUGUUAUUUACCUAUUUAAUUUUUUGGCAAUGCUAGGUGACUAUAGGUAUGGACCUGGUGUGUCAAAGCAUAUAUAGGAAAUUGGUGGAGUUGUGGCUGCAUUUUUGUGUAUCUGGAGAUCUUACAUGAGUACUGAAAGCUUGCCUACUUUCCCAUGGAUGUAAUUAUUACUGUUAUUAAUAUUUUGUCUUUGGUCGAGCAAAAAGGUUACCAUUACAGUCCCAGGAUGCCAAUCCUGAGAAAAAUACAUCCCACUUAAACCAUAAAGUAAGGUACAGGACAACUGAAACAUUACUCAAGCAGGAUUCAUACCCAAGAAUUGCAUGAAGAGAAUGAGUGCACUUACCACUUGCUCACAUGUUGAAUGGUCCAUGGAUGUAUUCAAAAUUGUUGAUCAAUUGCAUAAUUUACUGUCUUGACUCUUGAUUAUGUGAUUGGCCACAAUGGCCAGGGUUGAAAUCUAAUUAGGCGUUCGCUUUAUUUUCUUGAAUUUCUAUACAUAUCUUUCAUAACUUUCUUA